ACAGCUCAGUGAUAGAGCAUCUUCUUCACAUGCAGAAGGCCCCAGGUUCAAUCCCCAGCAGGACUG